AGAACGAACGCUGGCGGCAUGCCUAACACAUGCAAGUCGAACGCUUUGCCGGUUUCGGCCGGCAAGGAGUGGCGCACGGGUGAGUAGCGCGUGGGAACCUGCCCUGUUGUGGGGGAUAACCGAGGGAAACUUCGGCUAAUACCGCAUAAGCCGGUUGUCUUGAAAGAGAUGGCCGGGAAAGAUUUAUCGCGACAGGAGGGGCCCGCGUCGGAUUAGCUAGUUGGCGGGUAACGCCCACCAAGGCUGUGAUCCGUAGCUGGUCUGAGAGGAUGAUCAGCCACACUGGGACUGAGACACGGCCCAGACUCCUACGGGAGGCAGCAGUGGGGAAUAUUGGACAAUGGGCGCAAGCCUGAUCCAGCAAUGCCGCGUGAGUGAUGAAGGCCUUAGGGUUGUAAAGCUCUUUCGCCCGCGACGAUGAUGACGGUAGCGGGAGAAGAAGCCCCGGCUAACUUCGUGCCAGCAGCCGC
rnacentral:rRNA from 1 species